CUAAAUAAAAAGUUGGACACAAAAAAAAAAAGAGAAGGACUAAAAUGCUAUUAGACCUUCAUGGGUAAUCAUUGUAGCAGCACGGUGUAGAAUAUUACAUAUCACAGAGACACGUUAGCUAGCUAGCUACAACACACAGGUAUUGUUACUCCAAGACCAGUCAUGAGGCUACAGUACAUUUUGGAUAUAGCAAACAAAGCUAGCUCAACUUGUAGUGGUAUUCGCAAGCCCCGACAUGGCCGAAUCGAUCACAAAAAAAGUAUAUAAUGUAUUGAACAACACUGCCUUGUGUAAAAAGAGAGCUUUUAUGUUGCUAGACAGCUAUAGACAGAACGCUCAGGAUGUCAGACUGGACCUUAGACUGACUUCUUUGUGAUUUGCCCGCGGAUCUUGAAGGUUCUGAACAACAUCUCUUGACUUCUCAACCGCCUGGUAGAGCUCCGUUACUCCCCCCAAAAAACAUAAAGUUGAAAAAAAACUAUUGGAAGAUCUUAUUUGAGUAGUUAGUAGUAGGAAUUUAGGCUGAAAUAAUGUUUGAACAUGUUUUUUUAAGAAGAGACAGUUAAAGGGUAAAGAUAACUCAAACACAGUAAUGGGGUGUAACGGCUGUCUUCGGGUAGAGAGGACCAAAACGCAGCAGGAAUGUGGAUGCUCAUCUUGAAUAUUUAUUUUAAAUAAAGUGAACACCAAAACGAAGAACGACAGACCGACAGUUUAACAGGCUAUACUUACUACAGCAGUGCUAAAGACAACUACCCACAAAAUACCAAACCAAACACACACCUAUAUAUAGGACUCUCAUUCAGAGGCAACUAGAAACACCUGCCUCCAAUUGAGUCCAACACCCAAUCCUAAACAUAGAAAAACUAAACUAGACAGAACAUAGAAAUACAUAGAAAACACAAACCCUCUGCCACGUCCUGACUAAAACUAAUACAAUUACUCCCUCUGCUGGUCAGGACGUGACAUGGGGACAAAGUGGAGAGGUCUGGGGUGGCUUCCCCUUAGUAGAAUAAUGACAAAUUUUUCCCUUGAUCCUGGCUAGUCUCCCAGUCCCUGCCGCUGAAAAACAUCCCCACGGCAUGAUGUUGCCACCACCAUGCUUCACCGUAGGGAUGGUGCCAGGUUUCUUACAGAUGUGAAGCUUGGCAUUCAGGGCAAAGAGUUUAAUCUUUGUUUCAUCAGACCAGAGAAUCUUGUUUCUUGGCCACUCCACCAUAAAGGCCUGAUUGGUGGAGUGCUGCAGAGAUGGUUGUCCUUCUGGAAGAUUCUCCCAUCUCCACAGAGGAACUCUGGAGCUCUGUCAGAGUGACCAUCAGGUUCUUGGUCACCUCCUUGACCAAGACCCAUCUCCCCUGAUUGCUCAGUUUGGCCGGGCGGCCAGCUCUAGGAAGAGUCUUGGUGGUUCCAAACUUCUUCCGUUUAAGAAUGAUGGAGGCCACUGUGUUCUUGGAGACCUUCAAUGCUGCAGACAUUUUUUGGUACCCUUCCUCAAAUCUGUGUCACGACAUAAUCCUGUCUCUGAGCUUUACGGACAAUUCCUUCGACCUCAUGGCUUGGUUUUUGCUCUGACAUGCACUGUCAACUGUGUGACCAUAUAUAGACAGGUGUGUGUGCCUUUCCAAAUCAUGUCCAAUCAAUAGAAUUUACCACAGGUGGACUCCAAUGAAGUUGUAGAAACAUCUCAAGGAUGAUCAAUGGAAACAGGAUGCACCUGAGCUCAAUUUCGAGUCUCAUGGCAAAGGGUCUGAAUAUUUCUGUAAAUUAGGUAUUUCUGUUAUUUAUUUUUAAUAAAUGUGCAAAAAUGUUUAAAAAAAAUGUUUUUGCUUUGUCAUUAUGGGGUUUUGUGUGUAGAUUGAUGAGGGAAAUGUUUUAUUUAAUCCAUUUUAGAAUAAGUCUGUAACGUAACAAAACGUGGAAAAAGUCAAGGACUUUGAAUACUUUCUGAAUGCACUGUAUAAAUCAAAUAGAAUGCCAUUUAUUUGGGGGUCUUGGGACACCAACACUGUAAUUGAAAGUGUCAGCCAGGGAUAUUUUAGUGAUUUUACAGCAUGAAUGUUGAUUCUGCUCUGCUCUCCUCGCCACAAUGGAACAGAAUACAUGAAUAGACACAGAAUAGAAAAGAGGAAAGCAACUAGAACUAAAGUGUGGAAUUGAAUACCAAUGAACUUUUUAAUUGCCUGUGCUAGUUGGAAUAUUCAGAAAUUUGGGAAGAAAAUAGAAAGGGGGCGAUUGUGUGUGGAGAGAGAGAGACACAGAGAGAGAGAGACAGAGAGAGAGAGACACAGAGAGAGAGAGACACAGAGAGAGAGAGAGUGAGAGACAGAGAUAGAGAGACACAGAGAGAGAGAGAGAGAGAGAGAGAGAGAGAGAGAGAGAGAGAGAGAGAGAGAGAGACAGAGAGAGACAGAGAGACACACAGAGAGAGAGACACAGAGAGAGACACAGAGAGAGAGAGAGAGAGAGAGAGAGAGAGAGAAAGACAGAGAGAGACAGAGAAAGACAGAGAGAGACAGAGAAAGACAGAGAGAGACAGAGAGAGAGACAGAGAGAGAGAGAAGAGAGAGAGAGAGACACAGAGACAGAGAGAGUUAAAGACAGAGAGACAGAGAGAGCGAGACAGAGAGAGAGAGAGAGAGAGAGAGAGAGACACAGAGACAGAGAGAGUUAGAGACAGAGAGACAAAGACAGAGAGAGAGAGAGAGAGAGAGAGAAGUGGAGACAGAGAGACAGAGAGAGAUACAGAGAGAGAGAGAGAGAAAAGAUGUCCACAUAGUUUUGGCCAUGUAGUGUAGCUACACACCGGUCACUGGACAGACCUGAAAUCAAACCACACAUCCCCAGAGUAAAAUCACAAUGUGAUUGUUAUAUUGAUGGACCAACAUUUCCUGAGGUAACACUGGGUUAGCUUCAAUCCCAGCUCUCUGAAGAGACAACACCCGUGUUGCAGUGCCACCAUGCCAGCUGUCCCUGGAUCUAGAGAGAAAGGAGAGAGAGAGAAAGAGAGAGAGAGAAAGAGAAAGGAGAGCGAAAGGAGAGAGAAAGAGAACAAAAGGGACACACUGGGCUCUGACUCAUCCAGGUUGGGCUGAGUCCCUUACAGUAUGUGUCACAGCUGGUCUCCCAGAGGAAUGAGGGAUUAUAUGAUUCAAAUCACAUGUUAUUGGUCACAGACAGGUGAUUAGCAGAUGUUAUUGGUCACAGACAGGUGAUUAGCAGAUGUUAUUGGUCACAGACAGGUGAUUAACAGAUGUUAUUGGUCACAGACAGGUGAUUAGCAGAUGUUAUUGGUCACAGACGCGUGAUUAGCAGAUGUUAUUGGUCACAGACAGAUGAUUAGCAGAUGUUAUUGGUCACAGACACGUGAUUAACAGAUGUUAUUGGUCACAGACACGUGAUUAGCAGAUGUUAUUGCGGGUGUAGUGAAAUGCUUGUGCUUCUAGCUUCCGACGGUGCAGUAAUAUCUAACAAAUUACACAACAUAUACCCACACAUCUAAGUAGGAAUGAAUUAAGACUAUAUACAUAUGGACGAGUGAUGUCAGAGUGGAACGGACUAAGAUACAGUAGAAUAGUAUAGAAAACAGUAUUUACAUAUGAGAUGAGUAACGCCAGAUAUGUAAACAUUAUUAAAGGGACUAAGAUAUCGUAGAAUAGUAUAGAAUACAGUAUUUACAUAUGAGAUGAGUAAUGCCAGAUAUGUAAACAUUAGUAAAGUGACUAGUGUUCCAUUAUUAAAGUAGCCAGUGAUUUCUCGUCUAUGCCUCAAGGCAGCAGCCUCUAAUGUGCUAGUUCCUCUACUUAUCAACAGCCAUGAAUAAUGUGUUGAUAUGAAUAUGACUGACGUGCAAAAGUAUCCACCUGACCAGUCAGCACACCUGUAUGUAAAUAGCCCUGUAGGUAGUUAGUAAUGGCGUUGGAACAAUUCUAAAUGAAAUAUGAGUGUAUUACUAGACAUGCAAGUUCAAUGGACUGUAAAUCUGUUGUGUGGUACACAUUACAAGUCUAUUAUUGCAAGGGAUAACAGGGAUGAGGAUGAGGCUGUGUAAAUAUAAUGAAUAUUGUACUCAGAACUUCUCUUUUUGUUUUUGAAAACACACAAACAGUAACUGUGAAAUCUGAAUUUGCAUGAACAUAAAAUCUUAAACAUUUCUCAUCUCAGCCAUCGUCUUUUAUUUUCAAAACGAGGUCAAAACAUUAUUCCAACAGAAUAAUUGGGAGGAAAAUUGUUUAAUUAUGUUUUCUUGAACUUCCAAAAGUCUUAAUGUGCUGCUACAGAGGUUUUGUAUAAUUUUAGCCCGUUGUUUUAAAAGCAGUCUUCACGAGCCAAAACAGGUCCCCAAAAAUUGUGCACAGUGUCAUCCAUUUCCUAUGAUAUGUUACAUCCUGCAAAAUCUAAAUAUUGUUUUCCUGCAAUUUGUAUAUGUUAUGAAUUCCAAUUCGUACAAUAUGUUCCAAAUUUAUAAGAUCACAUUCAAGCUCUUUAACAAUUUAUGUUCUCUCUCUGAUCUCUCUCUCUGUUCUCUCUCUGUUCUCUCUCUGUUCUCUCUCUCUCUUCUUUUGCUGUUCUCUCUCUCUUCUAUUUCUGUUCUCUCUCUUCUAUUUCUGUUCUCUCUCUCUUUGUUCUCUCUCUCUCUUCUAUUUCUGUUCUAUUUCGAUUCUCUCUCUCUUCUCUCUGUUCUCUAUCUUUCUCUUCUCUUUCUGUUCUCUCUCGGUUCUCUCCGUUCUCUCUCUCUCUCUUCUCUUUCUGUUCUCUCUCUGUUCUCUCUCUUCUCUCUCUCUCUUCUAUUUCUGUUCUCUCUCUGUUCUCUCUGUUCUCUCUCUCGCUCUCUCUCUGAUCUAUUUCUGUUCUCUCUCUCUCUUCUCUUUCUGUUCUCUCUUCUCUGAUCUAUUUAUGUUCUGUCUCUCUCUCUUCUCUCUCUGUACUCUCUCUCUCUGUUCUCUCUCUCUCUGUUCUCUCUCUGUUCUCUCUCUGUUCUCUCUCUCUGUUCUCUCUCUCUGUUCUCUCUCUCUGUCUCUCUCUCUGUUCUCUCUCUCUGUUCUCUUUCUGUUCUCUCUCUGUGCUGUCCCUUUUCACAGUCUCUCCACAGUCACCGCUGUGCCCAUCCUUCUAAAUUUACUCCAGCUCAGACAGUCAAAGAAAGUGAGAGGACACAGUCACAGACAGGUCACAGCCUAAACAUUACAACACUGUGGGGUGGUGUCCACUAAACUUUGUGGGGUGGUGUCCACUAAGCUCUGCAGGGUGGUGUCCACUAAGCUCUGCAAGGUGGUGUCCACUAAGCUCUGCAAGGUGGUGUCCACUAAGCUCUGCAGGGUGGUGUCCACUAUGCUUUGUGGGGUGGGGUCCACUAAGCUCUGCAGGGUGGGGUCCACUAAACUCUGCAGGGUGGUGUCCACUAAGCUCUGCAAGGUGGUGUCCACUAAGCUCUGCAAGGUGGUGUCCACUAAGCUCUGCAGGGUGGUGUCCACUAAGCUUUGCGGGGUGGGGUCCACUAAGCUCUGCAGGGUGGGGUCCACUAAACUCUGCAGGGUGGUGUCCACUAAGCUCUGCAGGGUGGUGUCCACUAAGCUCUGCAGGGUGGUGUCCACUAAGCUCUGCAGGGUGGUGUCCACUAAGCUUUGUGGGGUGGGGUCCACUAAGCUCUGCAGGGUGGGGUCCACUAAACUCUGCAGGGUGGGGUCCACUAAGCUCUGCAGGGUGGUGUCCACUAAGCUCUGCAGGGUGGUGUCCACUAAGCUCUGCAGGGUGGUGUCCACUAAGCUCUGCAGGGUGGUGUCCACUAAGCUCUGCAAGGUGGUGUACACUAAGCUCUGCAGGGUGGUGUCCACUAAACUUUGUGGGGUGGUGUCCACUAAGCUCUGCAGGGUGGUGUCCACUAAGCUCUACAGAGUGGUGUCCACUAAGCUCUGCAAGGUGGUGUCCACUAAGCUCUGCAGGGUGGUGUCCACUAAACUGUGUGGGGUGGUGUCCACUAAGCUCUGCAGGGUGGUGUCCACUAAGCUCUGCAAGGUGGUGUCCACUAAGCUCUGCGGGGUGGUGUCCACUAAGCUCUGCAGGGUGGUGUCCACUAAGCUCUGCAAGGUGGUGUCCACUAAGCUCUGCAGGGUGGUGUCCACUAAACUUUGUGGGGUGGUGUCCACUAAGCUCUGCGGGGUGGUGUCCAUGGUGCUGAUUCAAGAUACAUUUUGACAUGUACUGUGAGGACAGCCCAUUGAUGGUUCAGCUGUAGAUUUUCCAUUAUGUUCUUGGGUAGAAUGUCUAAGAACAGGCUUACCUUUCCACCAACCUGUGGGAGUAUUGUGUGCUUAGUGAAUUAUUAACGUGCUCACACAUAUUACAAGCUAAUAGGAGUACAUGCUGAUCAGAUCACUGUCUCUAUAAUGUCAACAUUAGUUUCUGCAGGAUCAGAGAGAUGGUCCUCUGAAUUCCAAUAGGAUC
rnacentral:lncRNA from 1 species